GGGCUACCUGCUGAUGGUGAGUCUCUGCCAUCUAGGGGGCUGUUCCCAGGGCCCCCACUGGGCUUUCGGACCCUCAACUCUGAAAGGUCUGAACGCAGGAAACUGAGCAGUGUCAGGGUUUCAGAGGCGAUAUCUGGAUUCGACAGUGACUUGCGUUGUCGGUUCUUGUCUAGCUCCAGUCCUCCAUCCCUCAGCGGCCUUGCGGUGCCCACAGGCCCUUUACUGCGGGACCUAGUCUGGGGCCGUAGAAGGAGCCCAUCUCCAGUUCCAAAACUUGGGGAUCGAUAUACACCCCAGCUCACAGAACUGCGGCUUGACCACAGGUCAUCAUCCUUGAGGGUCUCAGUGCUGGAAUAGCGACUACUACCUCGGGAGCCAGCCGGGCUGGCCAGGUACGCAGGAAAGCUCACCUUAGCCACACGGAAAGGUGCGCCCCCAGU
rnacentral:lncRNA from 1 species